rnacentral:sRNA from 3 species
AAAAGAACUUUGGAGAGAGAGUUCAAUAGACCGUGAAACCGUUGGGAGGGAAGCUCAGGGUGGCGAGGUUGUCGUGCUCUGUCGGAGUUCAGCUGGCGGUGGUCAGGUUGCUGACCGCUGCCGGUGCAUUCUUCGGCAGAGUUGGACCGUCAGUUGGGAAGAGACUGGGACCUGCUAUAUCGGCGGUCGGGAGGUAAGCCCUGCGGUUCCUCUGGGUGCCCGGGGUGACAUACAGCCGUUCUGCCGUGGUCCCGGCCGUCUUUCAGGUGUGUUUGGAUGUCUGUUCGUCCAGAAUGGGAAGGUGCAGACUCCCCUCGUGGGAGUUCGGGCCGUCGCCGGAGUUGCUUCGUCGAGCUGAGUUGUGUUCCGUACCCUCUCCGUUACGCUUCGGCUGGCGGAGAGGUGUCGGCACAACCGGCACGUGUCGUUGCCUGUCGGAGUCGUGUCCAAGUUCUGUGCCGAGGUGACUGGCGAAGAGUCGUUACCCUGUGCCCCGUCUUG